UGCCUCAUAGUAUAAUGGUAGUACAGCAGAUUCUGAUUCUGCUUGUCUUGGUUCGAAUCCAGGUGAGGUAACCA
rnacentral:tRNA from 1 species